CACAGUGUAGCAUAGUGGUAAGGAGCACGGCUCGUAACCGAAAGGUUGCUGGUUCGGUCCCCCACUGGGG
rnacentral:tRNA from 1 species